GCUUUCUUUGCUGAGAGUGGCGGACGGGUGAGUAAUGCUUGGGAAUCUGGCUUAUGGAGGGGGAUAACUGUGGGAAACUGCAGCUAAUACCGCGUAUUCUCUGAGGAGGAAAGGGUGGGACCUUAGGGCCACCUGCCAUAAGAUGAGCCCAAGUGGGAUUAGGUAGUUGGUGGGGUAAAGGCCUACCAAGCCUGCGAUCUCUAGCUGGUCUGAGAGGAUGACCAGCCACACUGGAACUGAGACACGGUCCAGACUCCUACGGGAGGCAGCAGUGGGGAAUAUUGCGCAAUGGGGGGAACCCUGACGCAGCCAUGCCGCGUGAAUGAAGAAGGCCUUCGGGUUGUAAAGUUCUUUCGGUAAUGAGGAAGGGAUGUUGUUAAAUAGAUAGCAUCAUUGACGUUAAUUACAGAAGAAGCACCGGCUAACUCCGUGCCAGCAGCCGCGGUAAUACGGAGGGUGCGAGCGUUAAUCGGAAUAACUGGGCGUAAAGGGCACGCACGCGGACUUUUAAGUGAGAUGUGAAAUCCCCGAGCUUAACUUGGGAACUGCAUUUCAGACUGGGAGUCUAGAGUACUUUAGGGAGGGGUAGAAUUCCACGUGUAGCGGUGAAAUGCGUAGAGAUGUGGAGGAAUACCGAAGGCGAAAGCAGCCCCUU
rnacentral:rRNA from 1 species